rnacentral:rRNA from 1 species
GCGCAACCCUUAUUGUUAGUUGCCAUCAUUCAGUUGGGCACUCUAGCAAGACUGCCGGUGACAAACCGGAGGAAGGUGGGGAUGACGUCAAAUCAUCAUGCCCCUUAUGACCUGGGCUACACACGUGCUACAAUGGGAAGUACAACGAGUUGCGAAGUCGCGAGGCUAAGCUAAUCUCUUAAAGCUUCUCUCAGUUCGGAUUGCAGGCUGCAACUCGCCUGCAUGAAGCCGGAAUCGCUAGUAAUCGCGGAUCAGCACGCCGCGGUGAAUACGUUCCCGGGCCUUGUACACACCGCCCGUCACACCACGAGAGUUUGUAACACCCGAAGUCGGUGAGGUAACCUUUUUGGAGCCAGCCGCCUAAGGUGGGAUAGAUGAUUGGGGUGAAGUCGUAACAAGGUAGCCGUAUCGGAAGGUGCGGCUGGAUCACCUCCUUU